ensembl:lncRNA
GGAAAAAAAUAAAACACUGGCAACAAGUGGGAGGUGCAGCUCCCACAGUCAGGCCUGAGUGGCUGGGCGCACUUUCUCCGGCAGAGCCGGAGAAGGCAGACACAGGGACCCGCAGCCAACCCACCCCCGCCUCCCGCCCGUCCCGCUUGCAGCCCCCGCACAAGCCGGGCAGCGCAGACGCGGAAACCCCAGGGCCGGCAGCCUAGCAUGCUCACUUACUGCUGCACUCGUCGUCUGCGCAGAGUUUGUUCUCUGAGAAGCGCCGGCCAGGGCUGGGGUCCGGCUGGCCCGGCACUCGCCACUGCGGCCUGAGCACGAACAGCCAGAAGAGCAGCCAAGGCGCCACAGCCAUGCUGUGGUCACCUCCAGGAGCCGGUAACGGGGAGGAGGGGGCGGGGGGCGGAGCGCCGCCCCUCGGCAGCACCCGGGAAGGUCUGAGCAGUUCUCAGCUGACAAAUCAGCAGGGACUUUAAGAGGGAUGCGAGGAAACACCAGAAGGACUGAGGGAGACCUCCAGGACUUCAGAUCAAAAAGGUGCAUCCAACAAACCGCUAUAGACCUGAUAUUGAUUAUAACAUCUUGGAUUUUGAACCUGAUCCUACAAUUGGAUAAGACUUUGAGGGAUCUUGAAAGGGUGAGUCUGUAUCUUACACAUGGAAAAGAUGUACACACUUCUGGCUAGAGGAUGUACCAUGAUUGAUUGCCAAAUUGGCCGUCGUUCUCCACCUUCCCUGUAUCUACAUCCUUUGCAUGUGACUCUGAGGACCCUCACAUCAUGAAGUCUGUUCUAUUCCCGCAGCCAUUGAAUGUGGGCUUGUCUUGUGCCUUGCUUUGGCCAAAAGAAUGUAGCAUAAGCGAGAUUUGCCAGUUCCAAUCCUCAGCCUUAAUGUCCACAAUUCUACUCUUGCACCUCUGCUUUGCCAGGAGAGUAAUCCUAGGAUACCUGGCUGGAGGGUGAGAAGCUAUGUGGACCACAGCCAAGCACCUACGGCCCCAGAUAUGUGAGAGAGCCCAGCUAAGAUCAGUAAAGCUAUCUUGCUGACCUGCUGCUGGCUGUCAGUCCAUGAACAAGCCCCCAGUGAGCCCAGAUAAGCAGAACUGCUCAGCCAACCAUAAUCUUGUUGGCAAAAAUACAUGUUUAUUAUUGUAUACCACUGAGGUUUUUUGGUGGUUCAUUAUGUAGCAUUAUUGUGGAAAUAACUAUACUUGAGUUAAAAUGCCUCAGCAGAAAUGAGGGGAACAUAUAUAGAAGUGGAUCUUGAGGGUGUUAUACUGGAGAAGAAGGGGCUAGGUAAGAAGAAUAUAAAUGCAGUUCAGGGAUAAUUCUCUGAUAUGGGACAACUCAUCUGUUCUUCAGGAUUCAAAGUUCCAGCAAGGAACAAUAGAUGAUGCUGAAAGCAUGCCAGCAUGGCUCUCUGGAGACUGAAUUUGACAAUAGCUGACAGUAAAUGAAGCUGAAGUGUGAGAAUUUCUCUGGCACUGAAUUAAAGGGAUUAUAAGCCUCAGAGAGGUAGAAAUGUUAUUUAGAACCUGAGAAACCACCAUAUUUCCACAUUCUCUUGGAGAACCCAAAAGACACUUUCCUUGCCAAGACAGUAAGGAAUAUACUGGUGAGAAGUUUAGCGGCAACUCUGCAAACCAGAACUGGUGGUAGGACAUACUGACAUGAAAUAAGAUUCCCAGGGGAGCUGGGGAGGGAUAGCAUGGGGAAAAAUGCCAGAUGUGGGUGAAGGGGAGGAAGGCAGCAAAUCACACUGCCACGUGUGUACCUAUGCAACUGUCUUGCAUGUUCUGCACAUGUACCACAAAACUAAAAUGCAAUAAAAAAAUAAAAUAAAAUAAAUAAGAUUCCCUAGUAUCCAUAAAGAAUAUGAAAUUUCAGAAUAGCAGAUCCCAGGUAGCAGCACUUAACCACUGAAGCAAGAUGGAUAUAAUUGUACCUUAAUGAUCAGCAAGCUCAGAGCAGCAGUCAAGUUCCAUAAGACAUAGGGAUUGGGAGUGAAAGUAAUAGAUCACAGUAUCCUUAGGGGCAAGUUUGAAGGACAACAUCUAAGACAUUGGAUAAUUUCUGGUCAAAUAACAGGAAAGAAUGAAGAGAUGAUAACCUGCAGGCUCAUAGCAGUUGUUCACAAUAAAAUAUCACAAUUGUUCACCCAGUGUCCUGAUCUAAAUCUCUUCACAGACCCAGAGAUAUAUUAUGAGGAAUUGGCUUCUGCCAUUGUAAAGGCUGAGAAGUCCCAUGAUCUGCUGUCUGCAAGUUGAAGACCCAAGUGGAUUGAGAAGAAAGUCAGGUCCCCUUGAGGAAGUACCCUGUAACCACUGCACAGAUAUGUUCUAUUUUUUCAUCCUUCCCCCAAGAAGAACUGAAAUUGUUUGACAGAGUAACUAUGCUGAACAAAGUGGAAAAGCCAGAAUUCUUUUAAGGGUGAGUAUACACUGAAUCUCAGCUGUUUUUGCUACCAGCUGCUUUGGGCACUAUGGUCUUCUGGUUAUAACAUAGGCUUAUGGAAGUCAGGUAAUAAAUGUAGUUCUGGCCCAAGUCUGUCUCACUGGGACUAUGAAAUUUUCAGCUGGCAGAAUCCUCACACUGGUUCCCUGACCUAGAGAGCAAGAGUAAUUACGGCAGGAAGAAUAACAUGAGAGCCCCUGAAACUGAAAGGCAGCAAAUCAGAAGUGAUAUUGAAUUAUUGGAGGGAUGACCAAGAUUAUCAUCACCAUGAAAAACCUUAAGGAUGCAAGAAUGAUGAGCCUCAUUAGGGCCUCAGUCAAUUCACCUAUCUGACUUCUGUAAAAAAGAGAUGGAUGGUGACAGAUAAUGAUGGACAGCCAUAAACAUAACUAGAUGAUAGCCCAAACCAUCGUGGCCAUGUUGAAUGCUGCAUCUUUACAGGAACAGUCAACACCAACUCUGUCACUUUGAAUGUAUUUGUCAAUGUGAUGAAAACUUAUCAACAGCCAAAAGCAAGGGUCAAAAUCAGUUUAUCUUUACAUAGCUUGUUUCAGAGUAAAGUUAAUUAUCCUGCACUCUGUGAUAAUAGAGUCUACAGGGAUCUUGAUCAUCUUGACACUUCACAGAACUUUGUCCUGACCCAGUACAUAUAUAAGGUUAUACCAACUGGACGUGGUUCACAGUAGAUGGUUGGCACAAAGAUGCUUUUGUAUAGAGCAUCUUUUUCAGGUAUCUCAAACUUUUCAGGUAUCAGAAUUCUCUUUACACACAAAAAUGACUAAAAACACCAAAGAUUUUCUGUUUCUGUGGGUAAAUAGCUACAUUAGAAAUUAAAUUAUUUUAAAAUUCUUUAGUUAUAAUAAACCCAGUACAUGUUAGUGUAAAUAAAUAUCUUAAGAACAAUGACCAUAUUCCCACACAAAAAAAAUUGUAAGAAAAUGUCAUUGUUUUACAUUAUUGCAAAUCUAUUUAAUAUCUGGCUUAAUAGAAAACAGCUAGAUUUCUC